rnacentral:lncRNA from 1 species
ACAGAUUAUUUUUUAAAAUAAUGAGGUCAUUUGCACAUAAAAUUUAUCGUGCUUAAAAUUCAUGAUAAUAAGCAGAAAUAAUUAUUUCAUUUCAUUUUUAAAAAGAACGGAUUAUUUUUCAAGAUAAUGAAAUCACUUACACACAAAACUUAUAAAAUAAAGAUCCUGGACGGAAAUAUCACUAUUUAUUAAAAACAGACUAUUUUUUAGGAAGACGAUGUCAUUUACACAUAAAAUAUUUGAGAGAGAGCUUCCGAUAAAAAUUUGGUUAAAGAGA